CCGCGGCGCCGCACGCUGAUUGGCUGAAACGCCUCCGCGCGCCAAGACGGGGCACAAAAGUCCUCAAGAAAAGACUCGGAGGAGGCCAGCUUGGAAAGGCCAAUUCAGUGCAAGUGUACAGUGGAUGCCACAAGCUGCCAGAUGAAGAAAAAGCAUGCUGGUCUGAUUCAUCAUCUGCAGGAUCUAGAAUCUGAUGAAAUAAUCUUUAUUGUCAAAGUUAUUCAGGUGCACCCAAAUGUUAUGUAUUCCAGGUGUGCCCAGGCACCUAGCCAGCUCGACCUGAAACAGAAGUGUUUUCUUCAAAGCAGCAGAUUUACACAGUAAGGUUCCUUUUACAGUGCAGGACAAAAAUAAAUUAUGAGUAGAAAUAAGUUAAAAUUGUUCUUCUAGAGCAAUUCUCCUGCAUCAAUGCUUAAUCCUUCCGUUAUGUGUGAUAUCAUUAAUCAUUCUACUGUAAUACUUGACACACACGUUUGUGGGACAAAAUCAGAUCUAGUAUAAAAGCUGCAAUAAUACUGACUUAUGUGGAACUGCAGCUAAUUAUAACAUAUUUGAAUUUUCAUCUGUCAUGAAUGACCUCUAUAAAAUGAACCACCUUUCACACCGUUGCAACAAGAUUGUCUGAGUGAGACCAGCAAGCACACAAGGGGAGAAGAAAGAAACAUUGUCGAAGGACCACAGGAGAAAUCUCAGGAUCGCAAUGAGCCAAUACCUGUGGAAAAAUACGCAGAACAGUUGGUGGAUUUUUUUCAAUUGUGGUUUUUUUCUCUCUAAGAGUCUCAUACGGCUUCUCCACCACAAACUGCAGUGCUCGGCUUAUUUAAGUUGGAAUGGUUUGGUUGCCUUGAUACAUGAGUGACCGAUCCUGCCAUCUUCGGAGACUAAAUGACACUCCUGUCUUCACGGGUGGACUAGAAGAGACAAAGAUGACAGGACACCUUCAGCCCGUUGUAGGAAGAUACUACGAUGCAAGACGGUAGUGAACUGAGCAAUGAUUGUCUCGCUUUUGAAGCAGGAUAUGCUGCGUUGCAGCCUCGCGGCAGGACUUCAGCUCUUACACGCUGGUGUCUGCAGGGGAGUACUAGGAGCAGGCUAGGUUACUGGAGGUGAGAAUGCAGCUGAGGCCGUAUCUUGUGCUUAUCUGUGAGAAUUCCCCAAAAGUUACCAGACUGAAAUUGGUUUUUUGAAGAACGAGGAUAACACUGUUGUAAUUGGGGCUGUCUCAGUAAAAAUACUCCCAAAGUGAUUCACGUCUCUGGUAUAUCAUACCUGCCUAUGGGGAUGCUGCUUUCUUUUGUGUUAACAGACAACGUCCUACCAUAAAGCAUUAUACCUGCCCAGGUUGAGGCAGAGGACCAGGUGUCUUCUGGUUGUGCUGUUGCUCUGACCUCUGAGACUGGCACCACAUGGCCAUGGAAAUUCUGACUCCCAGGAGGGCCCUCAUACUUUGCAUGCCUCUGUACUUAAGACAUUUGUGACUUGAUUGCAAGAGGUGCUCAGUAACCUGCAGCCAAUUACUUCAGUUUCUGCUGUGCCCCAAAAAUCAAGUUUUCACAUACCCCAACUUAACAAGACUUCUUUUUUUUUGGCAGCUGUUUUGCCAUCCUCAAAAUGCACAGGCUCACAGAGGGCUUGUGAACAUUAAUUAAUACUCACCAAACACUAUGUAAAUAUUAAGUAUUAAAAGUAUAUUAAUUUAUAUAGCACUUAAAUGCUAUAUAAAUUCAACCACGAAUGAAAACUCCUAUCUAAAGAUUUAUAAAGAGCUUGUACUUUUUGGCCUAGGGAGAAAGAAAAAUGCCUCCUAUCUUAAUAAAAGGGAAAAGCUUAACUCAGAAUGUCUUGUUCAUUACCCUUGUAUUCAUAUUGCACAACAAAAUAUUUACAUUAAAAUGUAUCUUUUCAAAAAGAACUUAACUCUGUUUUCCAACUGAAUUUGGCCAAGUUGAAAAUUAUAUAUGCCAGAGGACUGCAGUAAAAGAGAUUUAAGCGUUUUCAAAUACUAUAAAAAAGAGACUAUAAUAAGUGACUAGUGGACCAGUCAGCUGUUUUAAUUAAAACUGGGCUGCUUAUUGAUCUAUCGCACAGAUUUACCCCCCAUCUGCAACAUUCCAGCAAUAUUCCGUUCAACUAUUUCAGAAAAUAGUGCUUGUAAGAGACUCUAAAGAAUAUGGAAGUUGAGCAUGGAAAUGUUUUAUAACUAUGCGACAUUCUGUAAAAGAUCUUUUUAUUUCUUUUUAUAAGUAACAUGGUAAAAUUAAAAUUGCGUCACUGCAAAUUUGGCACAAUUGGUUUUAAAGCCAGAAAUGUGUCUUUAAAUCGUGGCAUCAGCUGCAGCAGAACAUCUGCACUGGAAGAAACCGGUGUGGUGCUCAGGUGGUUCAAGAGAAACAGAGGCACAGACCGAGCAGGGCACAAACUGGAGGAGGUGAGCAUGAUACCUGCCUGUUUAAUUAAAGUUUAGGAGAGCUUUGCUGUGUUUACAGAAGUUGGCGGCAUGUGUGAUGUCUUCUCUUCCAGGUGGUGCCUGGUGAGUACCCGCCCUCAGUGUUGGCAGUGGGAUGAAGCAACCUAUGAUUAUUAUUCAGUAGCUGUUAUUUGAAGAAAGAAAUAUUAAAAAAAAAAAAAAAAAAAAAAAAA